rnacentral:lncRNA from 1 species
GUACUAGAGCCGAUUUACGCAAUCGAAUACCGCCGGAAGUAGAACAUUUAUGUCAACACCAGUUUCGUAUUUUCACGUGAAAACGGCCGAAAACUGAGAGGUUAUCAACAAAUUAUAAGUUUACGGGUACCAUGAGGAUUUUUCAUGCAUUUAAACGAAAGAAGUACAAGCGAACAGAUGACACAUUAAAGUGGCUGCAGAAGCUUGAAAAGUUAGAUAGAGCAGGGGCAGUCAAAACAGUGGGAUAAUACUUCUAUGGUGUCCAACAUGUCUAGUCAGGUUGACAUAAGUGAAAGAUGGUCUGAUGGUACAAUGAUGUACAAAUGAUACUCUUUAACAAGUUGAACAUGUCAAGGCUAAUAUAAUGCCAGUUAUUAAAAUUACAUUC